ensembl:snRNA U6 U6 spliceosomal RNA
GUGCUCGCUUCGGCAGCACAUAUACUAAAAUUGGAACGAUACAGAGAAGAUUAGCAUGGCACCUGCGCAAGGAUGACACGAAAAUUCGUUAAGUGUUCCAUAUUUUU